CGGCGGACGGGUGAGUAACGCGUGGGUAACCUGCCUCAUACAGGGGGAUAACAGUUGGAAACGGCUGCUAAUACCGCAUAGGCGCACAGUACCGCAUGGUACCGUGUGAAAAACUCCGGUGGUAUGAGAUGGACCCGCGUCUGAUUAGCUAGUUGGUGGGGUAACGGCCUACCAAGGCGACGAUCAGUAGCCGACCUGAGAGGGUGACCGGCCACAUUGGGACUGAGACACGGCCCAA
rnacentral:rRNA from 1 species